rnacentral:rRNA from 1 species
GACGAACGCUGGCGGCGUGCUUAACACAUGCAAGUGGAGCGACGAACCAGGGCUUGCCCUGGGGCAGAGCCGCGAACGGGUGAGUAACACGUGGGUUACCUACCCCGAUGACCGGGACAACCCGAGGAAACUCGGGCUAAUACCGGAUGUGGUCUUCGGACGAAAGGAAGCUUCGGCCUCCGCAUCGGGAUGGGCCCGCGGCGCAUUAGCUUGUUGGUGGGGUAACGGCCUACCAAGGCGACGAUGCGUAGCUGGUCUGAGAGGACGAUCAGCCACACUGGGACUGAGACACGGCCCAGACUCCUACGGGAGGCAGCAGUGGGGAAUCUUGCGCAAUGCGCGAAAGCGUGACGCAGCAACGCCGCGUGGGGAAGAAGGCCU